ensembl:lncRNA
UACCUCCUGCUGGACCCGUGCCUGGCUGGCUGACCACAUGUGUUUGGCUGUCAGCCUUCUCUUCAUGUUGACCUCUGUGCACUGUAUUCCCUUUGGACUUCAGUUACACGAAUAUGGUGUUUAUGAUCAUGUUCUUUUGCCUCCCCAUGGCAUUCUUGCUUUUUUACGUUAGUGUCACAUGUUACGUGAUCUCACCCCUACUGUUUAUAUGUUAAACACACAUGAUUCAGAUGUGUGCUGCCUUUAUCUACAUUGCCUGGACCCUGUUCUUGGCUCCGGCCUUUCCCACCUGUCUUUAACGUGGACACUCAUGAGUCAUCCAACAAGAGGACCAGUGCAUCCUUAAGCUCUGCUACUUCAGGGUCCAUGACUUGCUGGGCUGGUUCAUGUGACCAUGCAUGCCAUCUAUGGCAAGCUUUUCUGUUGCCACUGCAAAAUGAAGCUUGUGCACAUGGUAUUGGCCAUCAGCCAAAACUGAUUGUUCCGUGGCUCUGGGGUCACCAGCCAAGGUGCCAUCUACAAGAUCUCUGACUUCGGCCAGGGGCCCAUGCUGAACUCCUGGACAGAGAUGAGGUUAAGGGUGAGAAGCAGUAUGCCGUGUGCUCUGUACCAUCAUGCGUCUCUUCCUGCCUCUGGGCCUUUCUCCUGGUGAACCUUCGUCAGGGUCUGCACCAUGCCCCAUCACUAUUAGGCCAUUGAGUUUUGUCCAGGUUGCUAUUGGCCCCAGUUGGCUUCCUGGUCAACAAGGACCUCAAGAUCUGCUUGUGGACCCAGGCCCCCUGCCGGUGCAUGAGACACACACCUACCCUCCCCAGCCUUCCAGGAACCCUCCUGGCUGCCAGACUGAUGGGCGGGCUGGUGUGGCCUUGCGUAUGUGGAAGAUAAAUGUAUAUGCUGCUUAUUUUGUCUCUAAGUAAAUCUAACCACUUUCCUCAUUUUUUGCCUGAUGGGAAAAAUAGAGCUGUACAGGUCUGCUUUUUUUUUUUUUUUUUUUUUUUUUAAGCUUUUUCCUCUUUAUUAUGGACAUUUUCAGACAUGCACAGACGUGGAGAGGAUGAUCUCUGGACCCCGUGUGCCCAUCACCUAGCUACAUCAGUUAUCAAUUAUGAUCAACCUGGUUUCAUCUGUGUCUCCCUUUGCCUGCCUGUAUUGUUUAUCAAAAGUCCAAGAGCCUGUGCCAGUUCAACCAGGACUGCUUUGGGAGAUUGGGACCCUCUGUUGGUGGUGAUAGUGGUGGGGUGCACUAUCAUUAUCACAUCAGGUCUGUUUUUUGCUUUUCGUGUUAACUAAUGAAGUUCCAGUGGUGGGCCUUAGAAUGAAAGUCUUCGGAAUUAACAAGAAGUCUCAAAAAGAGAUGAAGGGGAUGCUGCCAUUUCCCUGCAUCCACAAAAGGAAAGAGAGACUGUUUGUUGAUAAAGACUUACCAGUCUUCGAUAAGGUGCUUACUUGAGAUCUUUCACCAGAACAUCAGUCUUUUUUCCUGUGUAAGAUGGAGACUUGCGUGACUAUUAGAAUUAUCAGCUUGUCCUGGUCUCAUAAUAUAACUCUGGGCUUGAAAGUAUAAUUUGGAAAUUGUUGCUGUGUUCUGUGAUAAUAACCUCCCAAAAGUAAUCAGUAACUGGUUGUCUUACUUGGUAAUUGACACCCUGGUAAUAAUGCAAUUAUUUCUUUGUUCCGAAACAGUAUAAAUAGUUGUAAGCUUGCAUGCAU